rnacentral:rRNA from 1 species
CGCGAAUCGCCCUUCGGGGUGCCCAGGCGCGAAAACUUUACAACGUUGGCAACAGCGAUAAGGGGACCUCGAGUGCCAGGAUACAAUCUUGGCUGUCGUGAUGCCUAAAAAGCAUUGCAUAGCAAGGGCCGGGCAAGACCGGUGCCAGCCGCCGCGGUAACACCGGCGGCUCGAGUGGUAACCGCUAUUAUUGGGUCUAAAGGGUCUGUAGCCGGCCGGAUAAGUCUCUUGGGAAAUCCGACAGCUCAACUGUCGGGCCUUCAGGGGAUACUGUUCGGCUCGAGGCCGGGAGAGGUGAGAGGUACUUCAGGGGUAGGGGUGAAAUCUUGUAAUCCUUGAAGGACCACCAGUGGCGAAGGCGUCUCACCAGAACGGUCCUGACGGCAAGGGACGAAAGCUAGGGGCACGAACCGGAUUAGAUACCCGGGUAGUCCUAGCCGUAAACGAUACUCGCUAGGUGUCGGCCACGGUGCGACCGUGGUCGGUGCCGUAGGGAAGCCGUGAAGCGAGCCACCUGGGAACUACGGCCGCAAGGCUGAAACUUAAAGGAAUUGGCGGGGGAGCAC